UGAGCCCUGAAUAAACCUUUUUUCUUCUACAAGUGUGCUGGUGGAAUCUUUUAGUCACAGUGGUGAAAAAGCUGUCUACAACGGUGGAUUUGAUGAGAAGACUGAGAACCUUGACUGUUUGCUCCAAAGCCCUUUGUGGUCAUUCAUCAGCAAUACAAGAGACAGAGCUGCCUCUCACCCAUCAGCAGUCCCGAGGGCCACUCACCGUCAACACCACGUAGAAGCACCACACCACUGAGCUGAGAUGAAAGACGACCAGCUGUCCAGAUUCAUUGAACUUGCUGUGUUUGACUUUGGAGAGAUGAAGCCGUUUGCUGAUUUUCUAAAGGAUAAAGAAAACCCCACAUAUCAAUAAACAAGAGCAUUCAUAUCUGA